GCCGCGGUGGUCUAGCGGUUAGAACGCUGGCCUUGUAAUCCUGGGGUCUCGGGUUCGAUUCCCGGUGGUGCCC
rnacentral:tRNA from 1 species